rnacentral:misc_RNA from 1 species
GCGUGAGGUCGGAGUUCAGUCUUCCCAGGCCCACCACGCUUCGCCGUCGGCUUCGCAUGGCACCGCCACGCAGAACGACGAGGCGAAGCGUGUCCGGCAUAGCCCGAAGGGCGACGCCGGACAGAAAGAGCGCUUCGUCUUCUGGUUACGGGGCCAUAGCUCAGCUGGGAGAGCGCGUGCUUUGCAAGCAUGAGGUCGUCGGUUCGAUCCCGUCUGGCUCCACCAGAUGGUUUGAUCACCGAGAUCUUGACCGUCGUCCGCGAAACAUCACUUCGCAUCCUGCUAGUCUGGAUAGACAGCAAGUUGCGUGUUUUCUGACAUCGUAAAGAGGAGAUCGAUCCGAGUUGGAUCGUGCAACAUAUCGUUGCGCGAGCCUUCAUUAUCUCCGGAUCAUUUCGGCGCUCGCUUCCAGCCGUGAGGUUGGAUGCGGGUUGUAAAUGAUCCUUUUAGCGAAGCUUGACCGCCUCGCUAUCGGAACGAUCUUACGAAGCAAGCUGGUCUUUCUAGUCAAUGUCCGGCUGUGAGAAUAGCGUUCGUCGAGGGCGCGUGCCGCAAGGCAGUUCUUACAGACAACAUUCUGCCGAGUGUGUGGACAUUGAUAAUGAGAGCAAUCAAGUGCCUUAAGGGUGUUCGGUGGAUGCCUUGGCGCUGAGAGGCGAUGAAGGACGUGCUACGCUGCGAUAAGCCGUGGGGAGCUGCGAAGAAGCUUUGAUCCGCGGAUUUCCGAAUGGGGAAAACCCCGGAA